rnacentral:rRNA from 1 species
UACGUAGGGGGCAAGCGUUAUCCGGAUUUACUGGGUGUAAAGGGAGCGUAGACGGUUAUGCAAGUCAGAAGUGAAAGCCCAAAGCUCAACUUCGGGACUGCUUUUGAAACUGUGUAACUAGAGUGCAGGAGGGGUAAGCGGAAUUCCUAGCGUAGCGGUGAAAUGCGUAGAGAUUAGGAAGAACACCAGUGGCGAAGGCGAUUCUCUGGACUGUAACUGACGCUGAGGCUCGAAAGCGUGGGGAGCAAACAGG